CAACCAAUGCUCCGGUUUUCCUGGGCACAGAGCUAUGCUAACUUCCUAACCUUCCUUGAAGUUAAAGGUGGCUAUACAACUCAGUUCUGGCCAAUGAAAUCCGUGUGGAAAUGAUUAAGUCACUUCUUGGCAUGGCUCAUAAAAUCUUCCCUUGUGAUCAAUCCUCCAUUUGCUCUACCCAUCUGGUGGAUGAACACACAGAAAAAAUUGAGGCCUUCGAAGAAGGCUGAGCCACAGUAGAAGAAUGAAUCCCCCAAUGACUAUGAAAACAAAGACCCUCACCAUGCACAACAGACUUCAAAUCACCUGUGUUAAGCCACGGAGACUUGGAGAUUUGCCUUUUAGCAGUAUUACUGUACCAUGAAGCAAGCGUGCUACAGUUUUGGUGUGAAUUAAAUAGAACUUAAAAACACGGAUUGGUAUAAGUAUACCUACAGCAGUAGAUAUAAAGUAUUCAUUAAAAUAAUUGGAACAACACUGUGAUUGCAGCAAGCAUUUGGUGAAUCACUAAAUAAACCAUACAGCCAUACCACAACGAAAUGGCUCAGCAAUAAGAAAAUAGACUAUUUAUAAACAUAACACUCGGAUGAAUCUCCAGAGAAUUAUGCUAAAUGAAAUAAGCCAAACCCCAAAGGUUACAUAUUAAAUGACUUUACUUAUAUAACAUGAUUGAAAUGACAAAGAUACAGAGUUGGAAAACAGGUAAGUAAUUUCCAGGGGUGAGGGGACCAGUGAAAAGCAGUUGAGACUGAGGUAGACAUGGUAAAAGGGGCUGUUCUGUAUUCUGACUGUGAUGGUAGCUACACAAAUCUAAACGUGGAAGACUGAAAAAUGGUCCCCAGAAAACAUCCAUGCUUCAAUCUCUGCAACCUGUGUCGCAUUAUUUGGGGAAAAAAAAAUGGUCCUUGCAGAUAUGGUUAAAUUAAAAAUUUUAAAAUAAAGAGCUUGGUCGGACGCAGUGGCUCACACCUGUAAUCCCAGCACUUUGGGAGGCCAAUGCGGGCAGAUCAUCUGACGUCAGGAGUUUGAGACCAGCCUGGCCAACAUGGUGAAACCCCUUCUCUACUAAAAGUACAAAAAAAUUAUCAGGGCAUGGUGGUGGCAGCCUGUAAUCCCAGCUACUUUGCAGGAGAAUCAUUUGAACCCAAGAAGCGGAGGUUGCAGUGAGUCGAGAACACAUCAUUGCACUCGAGCCUGGGCAACAAGAGUAAAACUCCCUCUCAAAAAGAUAAAAAUAAAUAAAUAAAAUAAAGAGCUUAUCCUAGAUUACUUGGGUGAGACCUAAAUACCAUCAUAAACCUCCUUCUAAGAGAGAGGCAAGGGGCUAGGUACACACAUAAAAGAUGAGGCUGUGUGAUCACAGAGGAAGAGAUUGGCAUGCAAUGACACCAGCCACUGGGAGCUGGAAGGCCAAAGAACAGAUUCUUCCCUAGAGCCUCCAAAGCGAGCACAGCCUGGCAAACACCUUGAAUUUGGUUUAGUGAUACUGACUUUGGACUUCUGGUAUCCAGAACAGUGAAAACCAAUUUCUAGCGUUUUAAGCCAAUGAAUUGACGGAAAUCUGUUACUAAUUACUAUAUGUGUGAUAAUAUUGCAUAGAAACACAAAUAAAUACAUAUGCAAACGAGUACAUGUAAAAUUAAGGACAUCUGAGUUAGAUUGGUGGACUAUAUUACUACCAAUUUUGUGGUUUUCAUAUUGCAUUAUAACUUUACAAGAUAGAAGUUAGGAAAUUAGAGAAAUGGGUUAAAGAGUACAUGGGAUUUCUCUGUGUUACCUUAGAUUUGCAUGUGAAUCUAUACUUAUCUCAAAAUUAAAAUUUAAUUUAAAAGAUGAUAGAGUUGUUUCAUUGUUAGAAAGAAACAAACAGUAGAAUAUCUUCAUGACUUUAGUGUUUGCAAAGAUAUCUUAAAAACAAUGCAGAAAAGCAUAUUAAUCAUAAGGAAAUAUGUUAAGGUAAAAUAUAUUAAACUAAGAAAUAUAAUUCCUUAAAAGAAACACCCAUUAAUAGAAUGAAAAAGCAAUCUAAGGGUGAAAUAAUAUAUUUGCCAUACAAUUUAUAUGACAAAUUCCUCAUAUAAAGAGUUUCUACAAAACAAUUAAAAAGCCACAGUGAAAAAAAGAAAUGGGCAAAAUGUUUAAACCGAAUGUCUUCACUAGAGUGAUAUCCCAUAUUGUUGCUAAACAUAUAAAACAAUGAUGAAAUUUAUUAAUUAUCAAGGAAAUGUGAAUGAAGACCACAAGGUGAUACCACUAUAUACUCAGCAGAAUGGCUGAAAUUUAAAAGACACAUAAUACUAUACAUUAGUCAGGUUGUGGACAAACUACAAUUUUCUUACAUUGCCCACACAUUUAAGUUGGUGUAUGCAAUAUGAAAAACUACUCAGCAAUAUCUACUAAAACUGAAUAUACAUAUACACUAUGAUUCAAUAAUUCUACUGAUGAAGCCAACAGAAAUAAGUACAUAUAUUUUUCCAAAGGCACAUACACGUAUACCUAGAGCAACAAUUUUUACAAUAAUCCUAAACUGAAAAAAAGCCAAAUGUUCAUCAUUUGAAUAGUUAAAUACUCCUGUAUUCAUACAUAUCAAUAUUAUACAGCAAUAAUCAUGAAAUAAUUACAACUAUAUGCACCAUUAUGAAUGGUGCUAAAUGAAAGAAAAAAAGAGAGUCCAUAGUGAACAAGACUAUUUAUUUGAAAUUCAAAAUCUGGUAAAUUAAUCUAUGAAAGUAGAAGUCAGGAACCUUGUAGGGGGUGAACAGCAAUUAGCAUAGCAUAAUUUUGUAUUUUGAUGCAAUUCUGUUUCUUUAUCUGGAUGAAGGGAACAUGGGUGAGUUCACUCCAUGAAAAGUCAUUGAGUCGUACUUAUGAUAUGUAUGCUUUUCUAUAUGCAUGUGAUGCUUCAAUUUUUAAAAAUGUGUUUCUUUCUGUACCUAUUCUGAAUGUUCUUUAGUUCCAGAAACUAUACUAAAGAGAUUGCAAUGCAUUUAUAGACUUGGGAAUUAUUUUUCUCUAUAUUAUUUUAUUUAUCUCUGUAUUAUUUUCUCUAUGUUAUUUAUUUAUCAAUAGUAUUUUAAUAUCCAAGAGUAUGCCAUAUCUUUUCAUUAUGUAAUAUUUAUUCCUUUAAGAACAGCUUUUCAGUAUUUAUUUAAUGUAGGUCAUACAAAAUUGGUGGUCACAUGAUUUUCCUAUUUUACAUGUAGUCCAAUCAUUGUUCUUAUAGUUAAAAAAAACUUUUUAAUAUACCAUGUCUUCUAAUUGGUUAAUAGUGAUAUAUAGGCAAUAUUUUCCAAAUUUCAGGGUGCCUUUUAUAAAAUUAAUCAAGAAUGUUCUUCAUGAAUACAUUUAGAGAGAUUCAUCCAGCUCUGCUUAUUGAAAAUUUAGCAGAGGGGAUUACUAAUAAAGGGUUAGUUUUUUUUAAAAAAAGGGUAUGUCCAUGUAAAGGAAUAAUAUGGAGUGAGUAAAAAUCAUUCAGUAUAUGAAUUCUUAAUUAUAUAUGGAAAAUAAGAAGAAAUUAUAUGUGGAAAAUAAGAAAUCAUUACUAAGUGAAACAGCAGAUUACAAAUUAAAGUUUUACAAAAAAUCAUAGGGGAAAUGUUUCAUGACAUUGGGCUUGGCAGUGAUUUCUUGGAUAUGACACCAAAAAUAUAAGCAAAAAAAGUAAAAUUGUGUACAAGUGGGGAUACAUUAAACUUAAAAGCUUUGGCACAGCAAAGGAAACAAUCAACAAAAUUAAAAGACCACUUAUGAAAUGGGAGAAAUAUUUGAAAAUCAUAUAUCUGUUAAGAGGCUCAUUACAAAAUAUAUUAGGAACUCCUACAACUCAAGAGCAAAUAACCAAAUAACCCAAUUAAAAAGUGAGCAAAAUACUAGAAUGGUAAUUUCUUCAAAAAAGACACACAUAUGUGGCUGAAAGGUAUAAGAAAAUUUGCUCAGCAUUGCUAAUAAUCAGCAAAAUGCAAAUCAAAACCAAAAUAAGAUAUCGUCUCAGGCCAGGCACGGUGGCUCACGCCUGUAAUCCCAGCACUUUGGGAGGCCAAGGCAGGUGGAUCACCUGAGGUCAGGAGUUCAAGACCAGGCUGACCAACAUGGAGAAACCCCGCCUCUACUAAAAAUAGAAAAAUUAGCCAGGCAUAGUGGCGGGUGCCUGUAGUCCCAGCUACUCGGGAGGCUGAGGCAGGAGAAUGGCUUGAACCUGCGAGGCAGAGGUCACAGUGAGCCGAGAUUGUGCCAUUGCACUCCAGCCUGGGUGACAGAGAGAGACUCCAUUUCAAAAAAAAAAAAAAUGAUGUUGUCUCACAUCUAUUAUGAUAAUUAUUACAAAAAAUAGGUGUUGGCAAAUAUGUCAAUAAGUUGGACUCUGUGUAAACUGCUGGUGGGAAUUUCAAAUGAUGUAGCUUGCUUAUGGAAAAGAAUGAGGAGGCUCCUCAAAAAUUAAUAACACAAUUACCAUAGAAUUCAGCAACUUCAUUUCUGGACCACAAAACUGAAAUCAAGAUCUCAAAGAGUAAUAGCACUCCUAUGCUCAUUGCAGCACUAUUUAUAAUAGCCAAUAUGUGAAAACAACCUGAAUGUCCACUGAUGGAUGAAUGAAUAAAGAAAAUGUAGUAUAUAUAUAUAACAGAAUAAUAGCCAUAAAGAAGAAAAGCCAUAUGCCACAACGUGGGUGAAUCUGGAGAACAUUAUGGUAAGUAAAAUAAGCCAGUCACAAAAGGACAAAUACUGCAUGAUUCCACUUAUACGAGGUAUCUGUGAUUGUCAAGCUCAGAAACAGAGAGUAAAAAGGUGGCUUCCAGGGCCUGGAAGAGGGGGAAACAGGGAGUUACUCUUCAAUAAGUACAAAAUUUCAAUUACGCAAGAUGAGUACAUUCUAGAGAUCUGCUGUACAACACUGUUCCUAUAGGUAAAAAUACUGUAUUGUGCAGUUAAAAAUUUGUGGUAAGGGUAGAAUUAUGUAGUCAUACAUUCUUAUCACAAUUUAAAUAAAAUGAUGUUAAACGAAAUAAGCAGGCAUAGAAGACAAAUAUCAGGUAAUCUCACUCAAAUGUGAAACUGAAAAUGUUGUUCUCACAGAUAUAGAGAGUAGAAGAGUGAUUACCAGAAGAAGGGGAGGGGAGGAAGGAGAGAGGGAGGGAAGUGAUUUGUCAGUGGGUACAUACAAAAUUACAGUCAGAAAUAAAUUUUGACAUUCUAUUGCAUAGUAGUAUGACUACUGUUAACAAUAGCGUAUAUUUUAAAUAGCUAGAAGAGUGGUUUUUGAAUGUUCUCAUAACAAAUAAAUGAUAAAUGUUUAAGCUGAUGGAUAUUUAAUGAUUACACAAUGUAUACAUGUAUCAAACCCUGAUUCGAUCAUUGCACAAUGUAUACAUGUAUCAAACGAUAAUUUGACAAUUACACAAUGUGUACAUGUAUUAAAACAUCAUCUUGCACUUCAUACAUAUGUACACUUAUGUGUCUAUAAUAAAUUUUUAAAGUUGAAAAAUAAUAAACAAGAUAUUGCC
rnacentral:lncRNA from 1 species